ACCCGCGUGCAACGAUCCCGUCACGGCCGGGAUCACGACCAGUUCCUUUUACCGGUCGAUCACCUCGAUCCACCGCGUCACAAUCGCUCGUGGAGCGGGACGUGCACGUCGCGUACGCGUCGUUGGCUGGUUAAUUAGUACGUGGGUGCCGUGAUAGAGUGGGAGAGACGAAAGAUAGAGAGAGAGAGAGAGAGAGAGAGAGUUGGCAAAGAAACAGAAACGAACGAAACGAAGAGGGAAAACAGGAGGCUAACAAAGGGUGGGAGGAAGAUGGCGUAAAGGUAGCACGAUAGAGGUUAACGUACAGAGAACAGAGAGGGCACUAGAGUUGCGGGGAGAGUUGUAGAGUGGGACCAAGAUGGGAUGACGAAACUACGAGGAGGAGAAAGAAGAAAUUAAAGGGAGAAAGAAGGUUGAACGAGAGGAAGAUAAACGUUAGGUCUGACUGAAUCAUCGAAGAAGGAUGGAAGAUACGAUGCGGUUGCGAGUAACGGGGAAGGAACGACGAGAGAGAGGUAGUGAAAAGGCGACGAGUGCGAGAGAGACGGAAGAGCGGCGGACGAUUCAGUGAAAAGAGCGAGAGUGAGCGAGAAACGGAGUUUUCGUGGGCACAAGAGAGAAAGUAUUACUGUUCCCUGUCCGUCGAAUAGAGAGGGAGAGGGCAGAUGAAGCACGUCUGGAUAAGAGAAGGAGAGAGUAUGAGCGAGGAAGGAAGAGCAGGGACGAGACAGAGUGCGCCCACCGAGCCGCCUCCAUACCACCUCCAGCAUUCCCGGCCUGCACACACAGUUGCAGCUGCACCGCCGCCGUGGUUCGCUCGUGUGCACAUGCGAGACUGCGCGCGCGUCCAUCUCUCGCUCGCUCGCUCGCUCGCUCGCAAUCAUCUCUUCGCCGGUACGCUGUGUGUAUUAACGACGCGUUCUCUUCUCGAAUAUCGAACCGUAUAGCGUGUAAGUUUUUCCUCUCGAUAAGAGUGUGUCGUGUCGACCAAGAUCGAGCCAGUUUUCCUCGUGACUUUGAUCGUGUAAAGAGGAUCAUCGAUCGGAUCAUCGUCGUCAAUGUUCGUGAAGGAAAUUUCGGAAAA